UACGUAGGGUGCAGGCGUUAAUCGGAAUUACUGGGCGUAAAGCGUGCGCAGGCGGUUUGCUAAGACAGGUGUGAAAUCCCCGGGCUUAACCUGGGAACUGCGCUUGAUACUGGCAGGCUUGAGUGUGGCAGAGGGGGGUGGAAUUCCACGUGUAGCAGUGAAAUGCGUAGAUAUGCGGAGGAACACCGAUGGCGAAGGCAAUCCCCUGGGCCUGCACUGACGCUCAUGCACGAAAGCGUGGGGAGCAAACAGG
rnacentral:rRNA from 1 species